rnacentral:rRNA from 1 species
GAUGAACGCUAGCGGCAGGCUUAACACAUGCAAGUCGAGGGGCAGCGUGGAGUAGCAAUACUCUGACGGCGACCGGCGGAAGGGUGCGUAACACGUGAGCGACUUGCCCGUCACAGGGGGAUAACCGGCGGAAACGGCGACUAAUACCCCAUAUGAUGUGAUGCUGCAUGGCAUCGCAUUGAAAGAUUCAUCGGUGGCGGAUAGGCUCGCGGGACAUUAGCUAGACGGCGGGGCAACGGCCCACCGUGGCGACGAUGUCUAGGGGUUCUGAGAGGAAGACCCCCCCACACUGGGACUGAGACACGGCCCAGACUCCUACGGGAGGCAGCAGUGAGGAAUAUUGGUCAAUGGGCGGAAGCCUGAACCAGCCAUGCCGCGUGAAGGACUAAGGCCCUACGGGUCGUAAACUUCUUUAGACGCAGAGCAAUAAGGUCCACGCGUGGACCGAUGAGAGUAUGCGUAGAAUAAG